UACGAAGGGGGCAAGCGUUGUUCGGAAUUACUGGGCGUAAAGGGCUCGUAGGCGGCCAACUAAGUCAGACGUGAAAUCCCUCGGCUUAACCGGGGAACUGCGUCUGAUACUGGAUGGCUUGAGUUUGGGAGAGGGAUGCGGAAUUCCAGGUGUAGCGGUGAAAUGCGUAGAUAUCUGGAGGAACACCAAUUGCGAAGGCAGCUCGCUGGGACGUGACUGACGCUGAGACGCGAAAGCGUGGGGAGCGAACAGG
rnacentral:rRNA from 1 species